CAGCUCAUCUGGUAUAAAAACAUAAUGUAAUUACGACGUUUCGUUGUUUUUUUUAUACCAGAUCAGCC
rnacentral:miRNA from 1 species